rnacentral:rRNA from 1 species
UAGCAUGAGGUCUCCCCGGCAAGAUCUUGGAUCGGCCAGCUGGAUCGUCUCGCGGACAAAGCACGUGGUCACCCAAGCUGGCGGCCGAGUGAGGCCGCGAGAAGGAAAUUUUGCCAAAUAUGUGCCUGGGCUGAGCUCAGCUGAGCUAGGAGACGCUAGGCGUGAGGAGGGGGGAAAGAAGAACGCGGCCUUCCGUUCGUGGUCUGGUCGCCGCUGGCGCACUCAGGUUGUGUCAUGGGUCGGCGUGCUCUACCGCCUCGGCAGCCGGCGGGGCGGCCGCGGCUGACUGCGCCUCUCCCUCCUGCGGGACCUGGCCUACGAGUGCACCGACCGGGAGCGGCUCCUGCGGGCGGAGCGCGGCGACGAGCAGGCGCACGAGGGGAUGCGGUAGUGAAGAAAGCGGAGGUGGAGGUGGAGGCAGGCGUUCGAGCGAUACCUCUAAGAGUCGGUGUAGUUGUUUGCCCACUUCGUGUCCGGACUCUAAAGCGACGGGUACGACCUAAAUACCUUCUAGAUAUGACUUAGACGAAGUUGCAGUUAACAAGCGUUGAAGACAUAACAAAUAUAACUCUACCGCAAACUUGCGGACGGUUCGCUCCUCUUCCCUUUGUAACGUGGACUAAACAAUUAGUUAUAUAGUUUUCAAGGUCGAGUCGUAGUUCCUUAAUAGAACUCUGAACAUAGUUUCCGAUAACCACUUACGUUGUGUGCAUUCCACCUACUAUCGUAACGGAAUUUUAUAGCUAGGUAUUCACCUAGACUACUACCGAAUCAAAAACGACUGAAGACGAAAGUGUGUUAUAACAUAGUUUGUGGUAGAGUUCCGUAACCAACGGGUCGUCCUGAAAGUCAACGGGUUCGUCUAGCACAAUGACCUUUCGAUGGUGACUUUCCACUUUGUGAACGUAGUUCUUUCGAUCCAUAGAACUUACAAGAACUUCGAUACGUCGACCGUAGACUCUAACAGAUGGGAUAAAUAAAUCGACCACGAAGUCUAUCAGUUCUUAGUCAACGAUUCUCUCCUCUGCUCAACAAUUUCGCGUUUCGAAGUUGACGCUUGAAUCUUCUACGGUUCGAAUAGUUAUCUAACAAGUGUGAUAAGUUACCAUGGCGUUCACGUCUUUUAUAUCGACGUCUUGACUUUCAGCGGGGUCGUGGAUCAAGUAACGCACAAGCGGAUUACUCACAAAAGACGGCCAGAUAACGACGUCGUUUGCGUAAAGGUAUGUGUGAAGUUACGUAAAAACCGACGUAGAUACCUUCACCUUGGUGAAGUUCCGACUUUGUCGAUCCCUACCUCAAGUGACAGACCCAAAAAUUUGUACGUCAUUACCUGGUUGAUUUCAAUUAACCGGGUCAAUAGGAGUCACCUUAUAAUGCCAGGGAACUACCAAGUAGGUCAUGUCUUCGUCUAAGGUGACGAUCUCUACAGUUUUAUAAACGUAUGGUCCGGUAACCAAACGAGCGGAGAGCAUACGGAUUAAAUAAGUCGUUGUUUUGUCUUUAACGAUACGCUGAGAAAUGACGAAACUCCAACCUCCUAGUUAGUGAGGCGGAGUGUUAAGUCCUCCGUCGGUGAAGGGAACGAUGUCGUAUAUUCCCACGAAGUUAACAUCAUGACUUCCUAGAACUCCGCGAAGAAGACCUUUUAACAGUUCACCUCGUUUAACUCCAAGCUAAAAGACGACAUUCUACCCGUUGUUGCAAUAUGCUGUACGUCGUGACGGGUUCGGCCAUAUAAACGUACGAACCUCGAAGUCUACAUUUUGACCUGUAUUCCCUUUACCGAGAUUGUCCAGAUUUAGACAAUUUACUACUCUCCGUCAGUGGACGUUACUGACAACUAAAGUUGAUGGGGCUAUAACACCUCUACGAUUUAAUAUAGAUGUCGGUCGUCGGAUUCGACGACGUUAGAUUGUUAGUCUCACUACCUUUCGACGAUAAGAGUAGUUUUUGUAAAGAACGUUACUAGUUCAAAGACUACUUCACGAAACUCCGUUCACUAUAAGGUCUAGAAAGCGUUCUUCUAGGUAGAGUAAGGGGUCAUCGUUUUUACACACACCAGAAUCUUGUACGGUACAGCAUGCUUCCCAGAUCACUUGACGUACGUAACCGGAACUUCAGUAACCAACUAUAUAGGAAAGCAGUCGGUUUCAACCAUAGCAGUGCCAUACGGUUGGCAAAUGUAACCGACUCUUGAAAUGAUUCAGUACAACUAAGACUACGAGCACUUAGACGCCGGGCAGACGAACCGUAACGAAGAAGUCGUGAAAGUUCGAGCCGACGCAACUUAGAAGACAGACUUGAGUGAAGUCGUGAACUGGGUUUAGUAGGCAGUUCUAAACUCUAAAUGGUACCUAACAAUACGCGUUGGCCCAUACAUUGGCGGACGACAAACUUCCUUAGAAUAUAUGGACUUCUUGACCAGGUUUUCCAUCAACUAUAAGAACAUUUUCAACAACUCAGACUCCCAAGUUGUAACCGUAGUGAACGUUACCUUAGAGAACCGGUAUAACCCGAGGCAACACAUAACGGAAGGUAAUCAUCCUUGAGGAGACGUCGACCUCAAAAUUGACAAGACGUACUCUCUAAUUGUUUCGACGAAAGGCUUUUACUAUGGUUUCGAUAUGUUUUCUAGAACCAUAGUGAACCUGUAUAAAGUACCUUACUCAACAGGAAAAGUGUAGACUUUUAACGCAAUCUGAACUAAAAGUCAGAGCGCGCAAGAUUCCAACUUCUACACGAAAAACGUAGACCGCUCCGAGAGAGAAAGUAUACCCCACUUCAAGGACACUGACGUCUACACUAUGAUCUUUGUUUGAAACAAAGGGAAAGGGUUCGGUGUUUGAAAGAAUGACCACUACGUGGGGACGAACUGAGUUCCUUGAAGCCAUUUUCUUCGUCGACACUUCUUCGUGCAUGUUGCCGAGUUCUACUUUAAUAUUUGUUCAACAAACUAUGUGAUUAAAUAUCGUCGUCUUUUCUCCUUGCGACACGCCCAUGUCAGACAAACCAGAGCGAGUGCUACAUGACACCAGCCGUAGGCUUCUAGGAACUUGAGGAAGGUGUCUAAGUCCUUCGGAAAAGAGUGGAAUAACCGCUAAGAUUACUCGAAUGUGUUCUAAACCGUAGGGUUCCAUACUCAUAACACAUACUUGAACCACUACGAAGAUACUUUCCCGUCAACCAAGUACGUGACCACUUAUGCGACUGACCGCGUCGUUUUUUCUUUUUCCGGUAAUUCGACUACCUCCUAAGUCUCCAAAAAGUUCUUCCUUGGUAACCGUCAUUAGGACGACCUCCUUUCGAAUCGUGUAUGUUCCUCGAGACAUCAGAACGGUUACUCUACCCUGUUGGACUGAACUAUAUGUUCAAGUACCUAGACCGAUUGAUAGUCCGACGAGAGUUAAGGUUCUCCCCACGACGAAAACCUAAAAGGUUCUAUCGGUUUGUUCGACCCCUCCGUGAAGUUGGGGUAGACGUGUGGAAUUAAGGAUCCGAACAGGCUAUGGUUAUACUAGGACUAUUCUUGUAGGUCCUAAGUUACCCCGUAUAGACCUUCAAUUAACAAAGUCUAGGGUUUUUCCGUUAUCUACUUGUAAUACUACAGUAUCAUCUCCUAGACAACCAAGUUAGACCUAGUGCCGAAACCGCGAGUGCACUUCGAAGAACAGAACGUGAACGUCUGUAGUAGGUUCCAGCUUCUAUAUCAGUCCAAAGAUUCGUAAACUAUUUUUAUACCUGUUGGUGGAAGGCACGCUACCUACUGUAUUUCCUUUGGCACGCUUUACGACCACUGUCAAACACGGCUCGACAUUCGAGUAACUGUCAAUCCGAUACACUACACAGUGAAUGAUGGCGAAGACUACGUUUUCUUUGUUACUUGUAACAUGAAGGUAAGAACGAAAGACUUCCGUAUGAGUCAUUUCAACGUUCGCAAGUUUUUCGUAGAUAUUUAAACCAGUACUUCGAACGGUUCCCCCGACCGUAACGGAACGCCGGUGUAGACAGUCUUGAACAAUCAACAUACGAACUUACAAACAGUUCAGACCUCCUAGUUUCCAAUUUGAUACAACUCUACGUACGUCCUUUACGACCGUAGGUUUGGCUCUUCGAACUGUCGAACGCACAUCGACAUCGUUUUCUAAGAGGUUACACCCUUUGGGAACUAUAUACAUAGCUUCAACAACUGUGUUUAAGUGAGCUCGAUAACUAAGGAGCGGACCGAGUUUACCAAUCUAGACGACAACCAGAAUUAUGUUCCCAACCACAACGAUCGAAGUAGUGGAACGACCAUGUCUUCCAGUACUAAUUGUAGUUCGGUAUGUGCCGCUACAAUGACUUUAAUGAAAUAUGACGACAAGACCUCCUUUCCUCAUGACGUCGGUUUUCCCGGAAACGCAGAAGAACACGACGUCAAAACUUUAUACGGUCGGUUAGAGUCCGAGUCUUUGAAUAACUUCUGUGGCGAAGAGACGUAAAUCCACUUUUUUCAAGAGUCAAUAGACCGCGUCAAGAAUAAUUUAGCAUGAACUCGUUACGUCGUCUACAAUAAUCACCUAUGUUACGUCACCAAUAGGGACAUUAAAAAAGAAGUUCUAAACUACUACUAUUUCUCUGGUCACGGAACAUACCUCUUGAAACCCUCCUAUAAGGAUCGUCACUUUCUCAUUGGGAAGUCGAAAUAAAUGGUCUUUAACAUAGGGAAAACACGCUAACGUACAGGAGUAGUAGUACCCGACCGUUCUCUUUCAGUCGGUUCCGAUGUUUUUCAGAUACACUACGGGAACCUCUUGGACAAAGACGCGUGGUGGUAUUAUAAGAGUUUAGUGAAGACUUUCUCGAUGGUCCAGCUAAAACCCUCCCUUUUCUACGACAAGACCUACGUGAUCGAAGUGACACAAACACGACGGUGCGGCGAUAUUGACGUCUGCUUGGUUGAUACGGAUCACAAUAAGACUUACGACAAACACGACGUACGUCAUCCUUCGGCUUUAACAUGGCACUUCGUCGAAAGAGCACAAAUGUCGUUCACUAGUGACGUAAGUUUCUAGGUCCUAAGAAGUUAUCACAAAAGGGAUACAACAUACUCCAAAGAUUAGUCAGACAGUAAAAAUUCUGUUGUUCCUCAAGUAGAAGUGAUUCAUGUAGACGACGACGACUCGUUCUACUUUCACGUUCACAGAGGCAAAGAGAACUGUUCCACGAGUUGACACGACGUAGAUCGUAGUGAUAACGAAACGGUGUUCUAUAAUAGGUGGUUUUCUUCUUAUACAAUCUCCAAGACAACUUGAGAGAAAGUGGGCUCCUCCCAACCGUUCAAUUUAACAGUAGGAAGAACACAUAGUUUCUUAACACGAUGUUUAAAAGCCUAAGACCACCAUCGUGCCGCACCGGACUUCCGUGUCUACUAAAACAAGUCCUCUACAAGGUAAGUCACCGCAGUUUUCAUCAUCUGAGGUAUGCGAAUCAAUUCUAACGAGUCCAAGUACAACGACGAAGUCUCACGGAAGAACUCAACUAGUUUAACAUAUCUCUGAAGGGCAACCUUCUCUCUUCUCUCCGGUUCAAGCUCCCACUUGAUUAGGUUGAGACGCUCAGUCUUUUUUCACUUGUCCGUUUCCGUGAAGACUUCGUUACGAACCGACGAGAGUUUCUCGAGUGACCGCAUUGGUACUGCUACCCAAUCUACGUGAGAAAAGCUAUGUACAUUUUAGACGAUGUACUUUUACGACGGUCACCGUGUGAACUUUAAAUACCCUUUUACUAACGUAACGUGUAAAAAUUCGAUACGUUAUGCUUUUAACCGUUAAAUAAUGUGUCAAGCCAAUUAACAAGAGGUAAAAGUAUGUAAAAAGACACUCCAGUGUUGAAGGAUAAUACUGCUUUCUCCCGAGACUAAUA